AGUCCACAUCGACGGGGAGGUUUGGCACCUCGAUGUCGGCUCAUCACAUCCUGGGGCUGUAGUAGGUCCCAAGGGUUGGGCUGUUCGCCCAUUAAAGUGGUACGCGAGCUGGGUUCAGAACGUCGUGAGACAGUUCGGUCCCUAUCCGUCGCAGGCGUAGGAAAUUUGAGAAGACCUGUCCUUAGUACGAGAGGACCGGGAUGGACGUACCUCUGGUGUACCAGUUGUUCUGCCAAGGGCAUGGCUGGGUAGCUAUGUACGGAAUGGAUAAGCGCUGAAAGCAUCUAAGCGCGAAGCCAACUUCAAGAUAAGAUUUCCCACCGCAAGGGUAAGACCCCAGAAAGACUAUCUGGUUGAUAGGUCGAAGGUGUAAGUGCAGCAAUGUAUUUAGCUUAUCGAUACUAAUAGGUCGAGGACUUGACCAA
rnacentral:rRNA from 1 species